rnacentral:lncRNA from 10 species
CCUUAAUACAGUAAGACUGGUGUCCUAAGAAGACAGCCAUGCGAAUUCAGAGACACAGGAAGAUGGCACGUGAAGCCGAAAGCAGAGACUGGACGAUGCAGCUGAAAGCCAAGGAAUGCCAAGUGUCACUAGCAACACCUAGAGCCAGGAAGGGGCAAGGAAAGACUCCCUGUCAGGAUGCAGAGGGAGCAGGGCCCUGCGGACACCUUGAUGUCAGACUUCUGACCUCUAGAAAGGCGAGAGAACACAUUUCUGUUGUUUGAAGCCAUCCAGUGUGUGGUCCUUUGGGAUGGCAGUACUUUGAGAGGACAUUAACACACACACACAAAGGGACAGAAUGCAAUGAUGAGGUGCACAGUUUCUGGAAUCAGAGUGCCCAGGUCCAGGAGUCUCUAGACCUCCUUUGUAUUAGUUCUCUGACAAUGAGCACAUUACUCAAUCUCUCUGUACCUUUCUCUUCCUAUCUGUAGCAGGUGUUGCGGGUAACGAUAGUAGUCAGCCUCUAGCUGUCUUUUGAAGAAGCAAGUGUUUUGUGUGAUGAGCUCUUGCUCAGGGCCGGGCACAUAGCCAGCUAGUAGUAGUAGUAAUCUCAGUUUUCUCUGCCUAUCUGCACUUUAACUGUCCCCCUCAAUUCUUCUCUAUUACCUUAUAAACAAUGCUGGGAGUGGCAACCAGAACACAGUCCUGUACCCUCUAUGUAAGAACACAGCAAGGUUUAUGCAAGAGUAGAAUAACAUUUUUCUUCCUCCUCUGACGCAUAAAGUCAUGCAAUUUUUUUGCCUCUUAUCACUGGGAAAAAUUAGUUCUGCCACUCAAGACCUUUGCUAUUUGAUAAGCCACUCAUGUUGUAAAUCUUGGACUCUGGAGUAAGGCAGAGCUGGGAUCUCGUGUUCCCCCAGAAUCAUCACAUGCUGCACACAUUUGGAUGAUGUUUCUCCUUGGAAGAUGGAGUUUCCAUUGUUUUACAAAUUUACAAUAAGAAAUAAGUGAUGUAAGGACACAGGAGGUGCCAAACCCUGGGUUGGGCCUGUAGAGGCAUUCUUACAGGAUGUUUGGUUUCUGUGAUUUUUUAAUACAGCGAAUGAGGAUUCUUACUCUUCAUCUUUCCAGCGUUUCAAAAUUUAAUUAGUGAUUUCACAUCAUCUCAUUUGCUCAUGUGAGGACAGCAGGGCAAACAAUAUACCCCCAAUUGAUAGACGAGAAAAGAGGGGUUUCUGAAGAAUGACAGGACAGAUUCCCACAGUUGUUGUUGGUGGAAACACAAGACAAACUUCAGUCUUCAGAGGCUAAGUUCACUGCUAGUAUUGUUGCAUCCCUCUUUUCUUGUGAAAACAUUUCAUGUCUGUGGUCCUUUUUUUUUCAAAUGGUUCAGCAAAACUAAAUCAAGCCCCUGGACAGCUGCGUAAAAUGAUAGAAAACAAGUUGCCCGUCUUCAAAAUAAGUUGCCCCUGGGAUGAUGAUUUACUUCGUGUGUGGUUUAAAAUGGCAGGGGAGGGUAUUGAUUGUUAAUUACAGUCACUGGGGCCGUCCUGUGUUGGUGCAAACCUUUUCAAAUCCAAACUCCAUCAUUCAAUAAGGAUGAAGAUUUUAAUUUAAAAAAUUGCAAAUAUUAUUUUAAAACACUUUUAUUCUUCAGUGCCAAGAAAUAAAAAAUAAGAAAAUACUUAAAGAAUGUUUAACGAUGCAUUCAACUUUCAACAGCCACUGUUCUGCAAACAUUUCCUGCUCCUUUUUAUUUGUUCACGUUUUUGCUUCCUUGAAAAAUUCUCUUACCAUUCCUGUUUGCUUGUCCAAAGUCAUACGAAGCCAUAGGAGCACUUCUCAAGCCCUUCUCCUGGCUGUGGUUGCUCCAGGGUCUAUGACCCUCCCCCACAGGUGGGCCAUCUGUCCUGUGGACCCCAUCACACGUCCCUGUGGCACUGAGCACAUUCUUCCCAUAGCGCAGGUUUGUCAGCUUUGCUGAAGAAUAAGCUGGGCAAGGUUGACUAUUUCAGGCACAUGUUUAAAAUGUAGUAAUUUCUGAAUUUGCCUUGCUGCUUCCCGGACAGUGUGAGCUGCUUACAGAACAGACUUCUGCCCCCACUCAUCUUUUGCUUUUGCCUUCUCCGAGAGUCCUCCCGUGCGGCCUCCAGUUAUGGCACUAAGUGUGCACCACGAGCUUGGGUAUACUCCAUGUCACAUCGCCAGUAAGUUCUAAGGGACUCAGGUUGGGGGUCCUCGGCGGCAUCACAUGCCAGCGCCCAGAUGAGUGAAAGAUGCCAGAAGACGAUAGAAGCCGGCAGGGGCAGGGAGCACAGGGUGGCACACCAGGGACCGCCCGCCCCAGAGGAGCUCUCUCCCACCUCCAGUAUUUCCUUCAGGUCUCAGUCGAAGAGUCCUUUUGACUCUCAAAUGAGGUAGCAGAAUUGGAUGUACCCGGCCAAAGGCCAGGCCCAAGUCGCGUGCCUUGUCAGCCCGGGUGGAGGUGGAGGGUCCCUGAUAGACAGCACCGGGGCUGCGGGCUCGGCUGCGCUCCGGCCCCCUUCUCCCUCACUUGCCUCGGCCUCUGUCCUCCCUUUAAAAUGCCAUUUCCUCUCCGGGGCCCUGGAGGCUCGCCUGGGUGACGGUUUUGAUCAGAUGCCACCAGCAUUUAAACUUGAAGGGGGUUUCCAGUGGGUGGUGUGCAGGCUCCAGACAGAAACAGGAGAACAAAGAGAACCCUGAGGGAGGCCUAGAGAGCCCUCGGGGCACCUCGCGCACCCCAGGACCCACCCCAGGAAUUCUGAGUGGGUGGCCUCUGAAAACCCACCCCGAGUGGCUGUUCGGUAGAGCAGACCCACGCCACCUGCCCUAAUGCUGAGCCUUCGCAGAUUAAUUGAAGGAGGUCUUCACAGGCUCACAGCGGUGGACUCCCCUUGAGCUCACGACAGCAUCAGCUUGAUGAUGUUUUGCUUAAGAAGCCCUGGGGGGUCCCCAGCCACUUUGCUGGUUGUCCCCUCCCUCCUGCCUGGCAUGGUCUGGUCUGUCCUGGAUUUCAGCCAUUCUGCUCCUGGCUGCGUUGCCCUGCAGUUUGGGCCUGGCCUCGACCACCCGCCUGUCCUGAGGUGGUGGCCAUGAUUGAGGUUUUAGUCCAUCGGCCCCUGCCAGGACCACGGACAAGCCCCCCCAGUAUCUGUCUUGGGAAAGACGUGCCGCCUUUUGCCCAUUCCACACCCCGAGAUUCCAAGUGCUUCCACUCGCUUUAUCUUCAGUCCACUCACAAUCCAAUUUUACAGAUGUGGAAACUGAGACCCAGGACCAUUAGGCUGUGCAGAGAGACAAUUUCAAGCUGAGAUUCCAGUUGAAGCCCAUUCAGAACAGCAGCGCGGCGAUGGGGGAAAGGGAAGCCAGAGAGGAAGAAGAAUCAGACUGCAGCCAGGCAGGCCUCAGCAGCGGCUUGGAGAGCAUCCCAGUGUAUCAGCACCCACCUCACCUGUGAGGCGGCCAUGUCGGGGAUGCAAGAUAUUUGUCUCUCUGUGAAUGUGAAAGGAAUUAAAUCAGCUAAUACAGCUCUGGCCUGAAGGGAACACAAAUUCACAUGCUCCGCUCUUAAAACAAAUCCCUCUGCAGAUAUCUGAUGAGAAUCAAGGUCACAGCCAGCAGGAGAAAACAAAUGCAGACAGACAUCAGGAUGCAUUUUCUUUUUCUUUUCUUUUCUUUUUUUUUUUUUUUAAGACAAAGUCUCAC